UACGUAGGGUGCAAGCGUUGUCCGGAAUUAUUGGGCGUAAAGAGCUCGUAGGCGGUUUGUCGUGUCUGCUGUGAAAACUCAGGGCUUAACCCUGAGCCUGCAGUGGGUACGGGCAGACUAGAGUGUGGUAGGGGAGAUCGGAAUUCCUGGUGUAGCGGUGGAAUGCGCAGAUAUCAGGAGGAACACCGGUGGCGAAGGCGGGUCUCUGGGCAGUAACUGACGCUGAGGAGCGAAAGCGUGGGGAGCAAACAGG
rnacentral:rRNA from 1 species